GAUGAACGCUGGCGGCGUGCCUAAUACAUGCAAGUCGAGCGAACAGAUGAGGAGCUUGUUCCUCUGACGUUAGCGGCGGACGGGUGCGUAACACGUGGAUACCCUACCUAUAAGACUGGGAUAACUUCGGGAAACCGGAGCUAAUACCGGAUAAUAUAUUGAACCGCAUGGUUCAAUAGUGAAAGACGGUUUUGCUGUCACUUAUAGAUGGAUACGCGCGGCAUUAGCUAGUUGGUACGGUAAAGGCGUACCAAGGCGACGAUGCGUAGCCGACGUGAGAGAGUGGUCGGCCACACUGGAGCGGGGACACGGUCCUGACGCCUGCGAGAGGCAGCAGUAGGGAAUCGUCGGCAAUGGGCGGAAGCUUGACGGAGCAAGGCCGCGUGAGUGAAGAAGGUCUUCGGAUCGGAAAGCUCUGUUAUUGGGUAAGAACAAAUGUGUAAGUAACUAUGGACGUCGUGACGGUACCGAAUCAAAAAGCCACGGCUAACUACGUG
rnacentral:rRNA from 1 species